rnacentral:rRNA from 1 species
AGUAAAAGUCGUAACAAGGUCUCCGUAGGUGAACCUGCGGAGGGAUCAUUACACAAUAACCAGGCGGGCUGGACACCCCCCGCUGGGCACUGCUUCACGGCGUGCGCGGCGGGGCCGGCCCUGCUGAAUUAUUCACCCGUGUCUUUUGCGUACUUCUUGUUUCCUGGGUGGGCUCGCCCGCCCUCAGGACCAACCACAAACCUUUUGCAAUAGCAAUCAGCGUCAGUAACAACGUAAUUAAUUACAACUUUCAACAACGGAUCUCUUGGUUCUGGCAUCGAUUAAGAACGCAGCGAAAUGCGAUACGUAGUGUGAAUUGCAGAAUUCAGUGAAUCAUCGAAUCUUUGAACGCACAUUGCGCCCUUUGGUAUUCCAAAGGGCAUGCCUGUUCGAGCGUCAUUUGUACCCUCAAACUUUGCUUGGUGUUGGGCGUCUUUUGUCUCCAGUUCGCUGGAGACUCGCCUUAAAGUCAUUGGCAGCCGGCCUACUGGUUUCGGAGCGCAGCACAAGUCGCGCUCUUCGCCAGCCAAGGUCAGCGUCCAGCAAGCCUUUUUUUCAACCUUUGACCUCGGAUCAGGUAGGGAUACCCGCUGAACUUAAGCAUAUCAAUAAGCGGAGGA